GACGAACCGUGCGAACGUUGUUCGGAAUCACUGGGCUUAAAGGGCGCGUAGGCGGGUGUGCAAGUCUGCGGUGAAAGCCUCCAGCUUAACUGGAGAAGUGCCGUGGAUACUGCUCAUCUCGAGGAGGGUAGGGGCAUCUGGAACGUUGGGUGGAGCGGUGAAAUGCGUUGAUAUCCAACGGAACUCCGGUGGCGAAGGCGAGGUGCUGGACCCUUUCUGACGCUGAGGCGCGAAAGCCAGGGGAGCAAACGGG
rnacentral:rRNA from 1 species